rnacentral:lncRNA from 1 species
CUAUAAACACAUAUACAUAUAGGAAAUAGUUUUGCUCACCACUCUCAAGUGAUGAUAAUGUCACCAUCUUAUUUAUCACCGUUACGUCCGUUUAAAUUUCGGAAUCUAUGUAGUAGAUAGAUACUAAUCUCCAAAUAUAAAUUUACUCAAUUGUAAUAAAUAGAGUGAUAAGUAUUACUCCUACUUAAAGAUAACGAACAAAAAUGCACCCAUACAUAUAUAGCUAGAGCUAGCUAGCUAGCGAAAAGUGUGAAACUCUUCUCCCUCCCACCUAUAUACUGUUGAUUAUUGACAGAAAGCUAGAACAAGUUGUUACUUGACUCACGGCCACCUGACCCAAGAAUGUGGGGAGGGAUUCUUUCGGCCUACCCAAUGCCACUAUCCCCAAACCCUAAAAUAUUUAUAACCUAACCAGCUUUGUUAUCAUAUAGCUAAACUUAUGUAUUAUGUGCCACUAACUCCAUAAGAUUCUUCAUAUACUUAAUAAAAACUAUAUAAAGUUAGCAUACUAUUUCUAUAUGCAAUCACAACUGUAAAAGACUGUCAGGACUAACGGGAAGCUGACUAGUUGCACAUGGAGACGUUUUUUAGUCUUAAACUUGAAUCCCCUCCGGCUUUCUAUAUAUGUAUCUUGCGUUUCCCUUUGUCUACAGUGGCCAACUUGUUGUAAUAUAUUUAUUCUUUUCUAAAGUACUAAUUAAAGUUAAAAAAAUACUCUUUCUAAAUGUAAUCACUUUGAUUAGCGCGUGAUUAUGAUUUACAUAUUUCAAGAAAAUAUAUCUAGGCUAUGUAGCUUAGAAGGCAUGUAGGAUCCGUACCCUUUUCAAAUUUGCGGCUCCUGAAUUCAAAUAUAAAAAUUCCAAGGCUGCUAUUAGCACCAGAGGUCACACUCAAGAGGUAAGCAAGCAAAAAAAGCCAUGUGAUGUGGCUCA